GUAUAGACGUCACUGACGCCUCAGUGUAUUCUGGGAUUUGCACUGAGAUCUUUAAGCAGGAAACUGUGAUUCAUCAGAGGAAAGUCUACAGCUUCAUUCAUCUGAGCGUUCAGGAGUUUCUUCUCGCUGCUUUCUAUGUUUUUUACAAACCACAUUAGGAGCACUACAGAAGCAUGUUUUGAUUCACUGCAUAAUUUGUACAAAAGAGUAGUUAAUAAAGCUCUUGAGAGUAAGAAUGGGUGUCUGGAUCUGUUCCUGCGGUUCCUGCUGGGCGUCUCACUGGAGUCCAAUCAGAGACUCUUACAGGAUCUACUGACACACACACAGAGAACAGCUCAGAGGCCAUCAGAGAAACCACACUGUACAUUAAACACAAGAUCAAGAGUCUAAAUGAUAAUGAUGGGCUGUAUGUACAUGAAAUAAAUGAGCAUCACAAACAAAUUAAAAAACAUCUCUCAGCUGGUCAAUCCAUCAAUCUGUUCCUCUGUCUGCUGGAAGUAAAAGAUCAGACUCUGUUCAGAGAGAUUCAGGAGUUUUGUGAAAUCAGACAAACACUCAGAGAAGAAACUCUCUGCUGCUCACUGCUCAACAGUGUCCUACAUGCUUCAGAUGUCAGAGGAGCCGCUGGAUGAGCUGAACCCCAUGAAAUACAACACAUCAGAUGAGGGGAGAAAGAAGACUGAUACCAGCUGUGAUCAACUGCAGAAAAGCUCUUCUUUUAUGGCUGUAAUCUCACCGAACAGUGUUGUGAGAGUUUGUCAUCAGCUCUACAAUCCUCAAACUGUGUCCUGGGAGAGCUGGAUCUGAGUAAACAAUGACCUGCAGGAUUCAGGAGUGGAAGCUGCUCUCGCGUGGACUGAAGAGUCCAAGUCAGUUGCAUAUACUAAGUCUUGCUGGUUGUAAUCUCACUGCACAGUGUUGUGAGAGUUUUGUCAUCAGCUCUACAAUUCUCAAACUGUGUCCUGAGAGAGCUGGAUCUGAGUAACAAUGACCUGCAGGACUCUGGUGUGAAGUUUAUUUCUGAUGGACUGAAGAG